rnacentral:tRNA from 1 species
CGGGUCAUAAGUUAAGAAAACUGUCAGUCUUCAAAACUGAAAAUACUGCUAUGGUUGACCUGA